GGAGGAAAGUAGGGGAUCGCAAGACCUUGCGCUUUUGGAGUGGCCGAUGCCUGAUUAGCUAGUUGGUAGGGUAAUGGCUUACCAAGGCGACGAUCAGUAGUUGGUCUGAGAGGACGACCAGCCACACUGGGACUGAGACACGGCCCAGACCCCUACGGGAGGCAGCAGUGGGGAAUUUUGGACAAUGGGCGAAAGCCUGAUCCAGCAAUGCCGCGUGAGUGAAGAAGGCCUUCGGGUUGUAAAGCUCUUUCAGUCGAGAAGAAAAGGUUGUGACUAAUAAUCACAACUCAUGACGGUAUCGACAGAAGAAGCACCGGCUAACUACGUGCCAGCAGCCGCGGUAAUACGUAGGGUGCGAGCGUUAAUCGGAAUUACUGGGCGUAAAGGGUGCGCAGGCGGCUUUGUAAGUCAGAUGUGAAAUCCCCGGGCUUAACCUGGGAAUUGCGUUUGAAACUACAAAGCUAGA
rnacentral:rRNA from 1 species